GGGGAAUAUUGCACAAUGGGCGCAAGCCUGAUGCAGCAACGCCGCGUGAGUGAAGAAGUAUUUCGGUAUGUAAAGCUCUAUCGGCAGGGAAGAAAGGCCCGAAAGGGAGAUGACGGUACCUGACUAAGAAGCCCCGGCUAACUACGUGCCAGCAGCCGCGGUAAUACGUAGGGGGCAAGCGUUAUCCGGAUUUACUGGGUGUAAAGGGAGCGCAGACGGCAGUGCAAGUCUGAUGUGAAAGCCCGGGGCUCAACCCCGGAACUGCAUUGGAAACUGUACAGCUUGAGUGUCGGAGAGGUAAGCGGAAUUCCUAGUGUAGCGGUGAAAUGCGUAGAUAUUAGGAGGAACACCGGUGGCGAAGGCGGCUUACUGGACGAUUACUGACGUUGAGGCUCGAAAGCGUGGGGAGCAAAC
rnacentral:rRNA from 1 species